UACGUAGGGUGCGAGCGUUAAUCGGAAUUACUGGGCGUAAAGCGUGCGCAGGCGGUUUUGUAAGCCGGAUGUGAAAUCCCCGGGCUUAACUUGGGAACUGCCGUUGAUACUAUCUGUCUUGAAUAUCGUGGAGGUGAGCGGAAUAUGUCAUGUAGCGGUGAAAUGCUUAGAUAUGACAUAGAACACCCAUUGCGAAGGCAGCUCACUACACGAUAAUUGACGCUGAGGCACGAAAGCGUGGGGAGCAAACAGG
rnacentral:rRNA from 1 species